UUGUCCUACGGGAGGCAGCAGUAGGGAAUAUUGCUCAAUGGGGAAACCCUGAAGCAGCAACGCCGCGUGGAGGAUGAAGGUUUUGGGAUUGUAAACUCCUUUUGUAAGAGAAGAUUAUGACGGUAUCUUACGAAUAAGCACCGGCUAACUCCGUGCCAGCAGCCGCGGUAAUACGGAGGGUGCAAGCGUUACUCGGAAUCACUGGGCGUAAAGAGCGCGUAGGCGGGUGGUCAAGUCAGAUGUGAAAUCCCCGAGCUUAACUCGGGAAUGGCAUAUGUGACUGCUCGACUAGAGUGUGUCAGAGG
rnacentral:rRNA from 1 species